GCCCUUGUAGCUCAAUGGCUAGAGCAUGCGACUUUUACGUGAUUCUUCACAUAUCGCAAGGCUGUGGGUUCGAGCCCCACCAAGGGCU
rfam:Kwoniella mangroviensis CBS 10435 unplaced genomic scaffold supercont2.6, whole genome shotgun sequence.